UACAGAGGGUGCGAGCGUUAAUCGGAAUUACUGGGCGUAAAGCGCGCGUAGGCGGCUUUGCAAGUCGGGUGUGAAAUCCCCAGGCUUAACCUGGGAACUGCAUUCGAGACUGCAUUGCUAGAGUAUGGGAGAGGGAAGUGGAAUUUCCGGUGUAGCGGUGAAAUGCGUAGAUAUCAGGAAGAACACCCGUGGCGAAGGCGGCUCUCUGGGACGGUACUGACGCUGAGACGCGAAAGCGUGGGGAGCGAACAGG
rnacentral:rRNA from 1 species